GCGUUUAAGCAUGCAAGUCGAACGGUAGAGUAGUGCUUGCACUACUUGAGAGUGGCGAACGGGUGAGUAACGCGUAGAUGAUCUACCUUCUGGUUGGGGAUAGCUCAUGGAAACAUGGGGUAAUACCGAAUAAGAUCCUUCUGCUUUGGCGGAGGGAUGAAAGGGGCUUCGGCCUCGCCUGGGGAUGAGUCUGCGUAUGAUUAGCUAGUUGGUAGGGUAACGGCCUACCAAGGCUACGAUGGGUAGCUGGUCUGAGAGGAUGGUCAGCCACACUGGGACUGAGACACUGCCCAGACUCCCACGGGAGGCUGCAGUCGAGAAUCUUCCGCAAUGGGCGAAAGCCUGACGGAGCGAUGCCGCGUGCGGGAUGAAGGCCCUUGGGUCGUAAACCGCUGUCACCAGGGAAGAACAAAAUGACGGUACCUGGAGAGGAAGCACCGGCUAACUACGUGCCAGCAGCCGCGGUAAUACGUAGGGUGCGAGCGUUGUUCGGAUUUAUUGGGCGUAAAGGGUCCGCAGGGGGUCUCUUAAGUCAGAUGUGAAAUCCCGUGGCUCAACCACGGAACUGCAUUUGAAACUGAGAGACUGGAGUCUUGGAGAGGUGAGUGGAAUUCCUGGUGGAGCGGUGGAAUGCGUAGAUAUCAGGAGGAACACCGAAAGCGAAGGCAGCUCACUGGACAAGUACUGACCCUCAGGGACGAAAGCGUGGGUAGCAAACAGGAUUAGAUACCCUGGUAGUCCACGCCCUAAACGAUGGAUGCUAGUCGUUGGGAUGCUUGUCAUCCCAGUGAUGCAGCUAACGCAAUAAGCAUCCCGCCUGGGGAGUACGGUCGCAAGAUUAAAACUCAAAGGAAUAGACGGGGACCCGCACAAGCGGUGGAGCAUGUGGUUUAAUUCGAAGAUACGCGAAGAACCUUACCUGGGCUUGACAUCCCGAGAAUCUCCCAGAGAUGGGAGAGUGCUACUUCGGUAGAACUCGGUGACAGGUGCUGCACGGCUGUCGUCAGCUCGUGUCGUGAGAUGUUGGGUUAAGUCCCGCAACGAGCGCAACCCUCGUCCUUAGUUGCCAGCAGUUCGGCUGGGCACUCUAAGGAGACUGCCUGGGUAACCAGGAGGAAGGUGAGGACGACGUCAAGUCAUCAUGGCCCUUAUGUCCAGGGCGACACACGUGCUACAAUGGCGUGUACAAUGAGAGGCGAUACCGCGAGGUGGAGCAAAUCUAUAAAACACGUCCCAGUUCGGAUUGCAGUCUGCAACUCGACUGCAUGAAGUCGGAAUCGCUAGUAAUCGUGGAUCAGCCAUGCCACGGUGAAUACGUUCCCGGGUCUUGUACUCACCGCCCGUCACACCAUGGGAGUUGAUUUCACCCGAAGCGGGGAAGCUAAACUGGCUACCUGCCACGGUGGAUCAGC
rnacentral:rRNA from 1 species